rnacentral:rRNA from 1 species
GACGAACGCUGGCGGCGUGCUUAACACAUGCAAGUCGAACGGAAAGGCCCUGCUUUUGUGGGGUGCUCGAGUGGCGAACGGGUGAGUAACACGUGAGUAACCUGCCCUUGACUUUGGGAUAACUUCAGGAAACUGGGGCUAAUACCGGAUAGGAGCUCCUGCUGCAUGGUGGGGGUUGGAAAGUUUCGGCGGUUGGGGAUGGACUCGCGGCUUAUCAGCUUGUUGGUGGGGUAGUGGCUUACCAAGGCUUUGACGGGUAGCCGGCCUGAGAGGGUGACCGGCCACAUUGGGACUGAGGUACGGCGCAGACUGCUACGGGGGGCAGCAGUGGGGAAUAUGGCACAAUGAGCGGAAGCCUGAUGCAGCAACGUCGGGUGCGGAAUGACGGCCUUCGGGUUGUAAACCGCUUUCGCCUGAGACGAAGCGUGAGUGACGGUAAUGUAUAAAGAAGCACCGGCUAACUACGUG